CACAUGCCUCUAAUCCCAGCUACUCGGGAGGCUGAGGCAGGAGAAUUACUUGAACCUGGGAGGCAGAGGUUGCAGUGAGCCGAGAUCGCACCAUUGCACUCCAGCCUGGGCAACAAGAGCGAAACUCCGUCUCAAAAGAAAAAAAAAAGAAAAGAAAAGAAAAGAAAGACAUGGGGAAAACUGAAACACAAAAUCAGCCCCAGGAAAACGUGGCCAUAGAUAGAUGGAUAGGUUUAUUUUCAGGGCUACUCCAGUUAAUUUUUUUGGCAUCCACCUCAUUCAGUGCCCAAACACGAAAUGCAGCUCCUACCCUCACCCCCUCCAGAAUCACUGGAUCCCAACCAUGGGAGGGCCGGCGAGCCCAUCUCAUUCAGUCUUCUGCACCCACAGGACGCCCAGGCACCAACAUCCCGGAAGAGGCCUUCCAGUCUUCACUUGAAUACAUUCAAAGGCCGAAAACAAGAACAACAUUCCUGGCAUUCAACUACAAGGAAGCCCAAUACCCCGGGUGCCAUAAGACUUCCAGUAUGCCUGCCUGAGCUUUGAAAGAGAGGAGAGGAAGCCAAGUCAUCCAGCAGAUCGGACCCACAAGCUCAUCCUCUAGUUUUUUUCAAGGGGCACCAUUCCUGUAAGGAAAGCUUUCUUGGGCUUGGCUGUAGAAUCUUCCAGAAAUGUAAACAAAAGAGUAAGAGCCAAAGACCAAGAACCCUGGCUGGUGAGAGUCAGAGGGCCAGAAUUUAGUGUAAAGCCCGCUCUAAAGACUGUUAACACUUCCUUUCCACCACUGCAUCGAUGAUUGUUUGAAAAAGUGAUUGUUUGUGAUAGACUGGAUUAAGAAAAUGUGGCACAUAUACACCAUGGAAUACUAUGCAGCCAUAAAAAAUGAUGAGUUCAUGUCCUUUGUAGGGACAUGGAUGAAAUUGGAAAUAUCAUUCUCAGUAAACUAUCGCAAGGACAAAAAACCAAACACCGGAUGUUCUCACUCAUAGGUGGGAAUUGAAUAAUGAGAACACGUGGACACAGGAAGGGGAACAUCACACUCUGGGAACUGUUGUGGGGUGGGGGGAGAGGGAAGGGAUAGCAUUAGGAGAUAUACCUAAUGCUAAAUGACGAGUUAAUGGGUGCAGCACACCAGCAUGGCACAUGUAUACAUAUGUAAC
rnacentral:lncRNA from 10 species